GUUCUUGUUUUGUAACUUUUCUUCUUGUUUUCAUUUCCGUGUCGACUGUCCAGAGUCCGCGGAGAUUUCAAAUAAACAUUUUAACAUCAAAACUAUACCUUUCAAGAUUUAAAUAUGUCUGGAAAGAGUGUCCAUGAGCUUAUUGUUGGCCCAAUAACCUGUUUUUCUUUGGACAAGCAAAGACAAAGUAAGUUUCUCUUCAUUGAAAAAGUGUAAGCACAAUUCUAUGCUUCAGCCAAGUGGUGUGUGUUUUUUAUAUAAAAAUACAUCUUUACAUCAGUUUAUGAAAUUGUGAAUUGAGCAAUUGUUUAAUAAUCCUGGAUAAAAAGUCUCAAUUGCGAAUUCUAUGUGUAGUUUCAACGUAGAAAUAGCGUGUCGAGAAAAGCUAACAGGAAAUGACUGGGAGUGCCUUGCAGUUGCAGGGUUGGCAAAUCUUACAUUAGUUUUUAGUGUGAAGUUUCUUCGAAACUUCACAGUAUUGUGAUGACUGGGAGGAAAUUCAAACUUAUCAGUCAGUCAGUCAGUCAUUCAGUCAGUCAGUCAGUCAGUCAUACAGUAAACUUUCCGGGGGGUGUAUACGAUUUAUGUUUGUAGUGAUUUAUUGUGCUUUGUCAGUACUUUGAAGGUUAUUUAAGCAAUUUCAGUUAACUUAUUUACAUAUUCUGUUAUCCUUUUGCCAAGUUCACAAAAAUUUCGAGGAAUCGCUUUUGUUAUUGUAAUUUUUUGUAAAUUUUAGAACAUUCGCUUCUCGUGUUGUGUAAAGGAUCUUUACCCCGGAACACCCGAUUUUUCUUUAGUAGCGCAAAUGCGCAUGCGCUAUCAAGCCGUAGAUCACGAUGGCGUGACGAUAUGCUAGGAAGGAGUGACAGUGUUGUUUUCAGAUGUAUAAACAUUUCAGACGUGAAUAUUGAGUAAAUAUUUGAAAAUCUACGCAAUAUAUAAAUUGAUCUUAUGCAUUACGGGCGUUCAAUUAAGUGUCGAUAAUAUUUAGACGGUAUAUUCAUUAUACAGAGCUAGGAAGGAG